AAUGCACACAAAACCCAAAGAUUCUCAUGCUGCCUCCAUGAUGGUCUUGUCUGCUGUGCAGAUAGUAACAGUACCUUGUCGCCUUCCAUAGGCUGAUGUGCACAUGGAGGUGAAAUAGAAGGUCCAACAAGU